CUAAAACCAUAGUUGGAUAAAACACCCAUGAUGACAUUAACCCAUUUGACAGCUGAGACUAUCUUUAAAAUGUGACCAUGGUGGCAGCCCAAUCAGGCUUUGAAGUAUCUGUGUUCUCGGCAACAUCCAAGGCUGUGAUUCUCAAAUGGACUAGGUACUCUGGAGCCAGCUCAUACAAGAUCUUGGUCGCCCCCAAAAGCUCACCAACCAACUACAUUGCUUUUGCACAGUAUGGUGCAGAUGUAGUGAUGGGCUCUGUCAUAUCUCUGUCCCCAAACACCAACUAUGAAUUCACAAUUCUAGCUCUGGAUAAUUCCCAAGGGACUCUGAGCAAUGCUUCCAUAGAUUCAUUCACAGGUGAGAUGCAUUUCAGUCCAUACCUGUACUGUUAAAGCACUUACAGUAAUAAGAAAUAAAAUGAU
rnacentral:lncRNA from 1 species